AAACUCUCCCUCACGUUCGAUGGAGUUCAUUUUCUUAACGGUUGCGACUUGAGAGAUUCUUUUUCUUAUACAGUUUCGUUAUUAGUGUAUAUUAAUUAUUUUUAAGUGCAUUACUUAAUUAAUCUAUUUCAAUAGAGAAUUUCCCACUUGGCCUCUAAACUUACAAAGUCUUUAUCUAAUUGGUCACUGUCUCAAGCGAAACCG